rnacentral:lncRNA from 1 species
GACUGUGUUUUUCAAACUAAAAAUAUGUUUACGUGUAUACGAAAUUUUUAACAGCCUUGGCGGACUAGGUUAAAUUCCUCGGCCAAGGUAUUCCCGAGAAUGAUUUUGGCAGGAGCCAAGCUUUUAAGAUACUCAUAAGCCAUGUUGAUUAUUUAAAUGAAAUGAAUAUUUAUGUUAUGAAUUACAUAUUGAGAUGGAAUAUUUUAAUCGUCUCCAUUUACUCGACUUUAGAUAUUUUGAAUGGUG